rnacentral:rRNA from 1 species
GAUGAACGCUGGCGGCGUGCCUAAUACAUGCAAGUCGAGCGAACGGACGAGAAGCUUGCUUCUCUGAUGUUAGCGGCGGACGGGUGAGUAACACGUGGAUAACCUACCUAUAAGACUGGGAUAACUUCGGGAAGCCGGAGCUAAUACCGGAUGAUAUUUUGAACCGCAUGGUUCAAAAGUGAAAGACGGUCUUGCUGUCACUUAUAGAUGGAUCCGCGCUGCAUUAGCUAGUUGGUAAGGUAACGGCUUACCAAGGCAACGAUGCAUAGCCGACCUGAGAGGGGUGGCGGCCAACCUGGACCGGAACCCCGGGCCAGACCCCUGAGGGAGGCAAGAGUGGGAGAUUUCCCGCAAGGGGCGAAACCCUGACGGACCAACCCCGGGGGGGUGAAGAGGGUUUUCGGAUCGUAAACCCCUUUUAUUAGGAAAGAACAUAUGUGAAAGUAACUGUGCCCAUCUGGACGGUACCAAAUAAAAAAGCCCCGGCUAACUACGG